GGGGCCUUAGUAUAGUUUGGUCUAGUACUCUAGCUCGGGGAGCUAGUAACGGGAGUCCGAAUCUCCCAGGCCCCA
rnacentral:tRNA from 1 species